GCACCCGCCACGGCUGCCCAGAACGGCUCCGCGGGCCGCCCAACCCACCUGUGCUGCCACCGCCCUCCAGACGUCACUGCGAGGCUUGGUGAUGGUAUCAAGGUUCAGCCACCAGUUCAGACACCAGGCAAACCUGUAGUGAUGAGAUGGAUCCAAAAUCAAGCUAGAAAAUAAAUUGACCAGGCCAGGAUUAGAGUCAAGAGUCAGGAAGGUGGAGUAACAAGCACAGGAAUUCCUGCAAUAAAAUUCAGGCAGAGGCUGAAAGGAAGUGCCUGAGCAUGAAGAAGCUCUGGAACAAAGGUGGGCAGGACUCCACUUCCAAUAACUUUUCCUCACACUACUCUUCCUACAUCACCACAGUAUGAAGCCAGUAUUGAGCUUUAGCCGUAGACAGCUAAAUCAUGGAAUCAUAAAAUGUCUCAGGUUGGAAGGAACCCACAAGGUUUGUUAGGUCCAAAUACCUAAAACUAAACUGUAUGAACAUGAGAACUGUCCAGACACUCCUUUAGCUCUGACAGGCUUGGCACCAUGACCAAGGGGCACCUGAGGAACCUGUUCCAGUCAGUGACCACUGAAGAAUCUUUUCCUAAUGCCCAAUCUGAACUGCUCCUGAUUCAGCUUCAUUCCAUUUCCUCGUGUCCUAUGGCUUGUCACCAGAGAGAGAAGAUCAGCAUCUCUCCCUCCACUGUCCCUCCUUGAGGAAAUUGUAGACUGCCAUGACAUGACGUCACUGUUCAGCUUCCUCAGCUCCAAGCUGAACAGAGUGACCUCAGCCCCUCCUCCUAAGUUGUGCUCUCAAGACUUCUCACCUCUUCAUCAGCCUCCUGUGGACACACUCAAGUAGUUUGAUAUCCUGCUUGCACUGACACAGAAAAAACUGCACAUGGUACUUGAGAAUCAUGGAACAGUUGAAGUUGGAAGGGACCUCAAGUUCAUCUAGUCCAAUUAGAGCAAGCCUAAAGCAAGGUGCUCAAGACCAUGUCCAGUAGAGUUUUGAGUAUCUGGAAUGCUAGAGACUCCACAAGCUAUCUGGGCCACCCAUUCCAGUGUUUUGCUCCCCUCAUGUUAACAAAAUUUUCUGACUUUGAAAUGGAAUUUCCUGGUGCACACCUAUUGCCUCUGGUCCUUUCUUUGGGCAAAAAUGGGAAGAGUGGCUCCAUCUUCUUUGUGCCUCUCUCCUUCUUCCCCCCCCCCCCCCCAGUCAGGCAUUUGCAGAUUGGUUAGAUCCCUCUGAACCUUUCUCCAGGAUGAACCCUUUCUUUAUAUGAGAAAUGCCCCAAUUAGCUCUGGUCUCCUUGUUUCUCUUGUAUGGGGGAGCCUAGAACUGAACACAAUACUCCAAAUAUCCAGCUUUUUCAUCCACAUAUUACCUUUUACGCCAUGCUUAGUAAUAAAGAGUAAACAAACCAGCCAGAGUUCUAUUUGGAAACCUUUCACUUUGUUUUUCUACAAUAACUGUUGUCAUCUACCAGUUCUUUACCUGUAAUAAACCCUCUUUUGUAAGCAAUUUCUUUUGCUUACAGUAUUUCUUUUGUAUAGCCUUUUUUAUCAAAACAUGUUGAACAAUAUAUACCUUCCCUAAAUAUGUGCUUCAUAUCUUCCUC